UCUUAUUUUAAGCCCUAAUUUUGAUUUGCAUUUGCUAUGGAUUACAUUUAUAUCGACUGAUAUGCAUUAACUGUAACUGAAUGUUAUUAGUAGUCUAUUUUACACUUGGUUGUUUUUUUUUUGUUAUUAACUAUUGUGUGUGCAUUUUGUUAAUUUUGAUUAGGUUUCAUGUUACACAAAUUUAUUAUUUCAUGAUUUAGAAUGGUCAUGUAGGUCUGUAAACCUGAAUUAUUAUGUAUUAUUUUUGGGCUUGGUCCAUUUAAUAACAGCCCUCAUAAAUACAAUUGUUUUGUUUAUGGGGAAAUUUCUAUUACGGGUCAAACUGCCUAAUUAGCUGUAGGGGCAUUUUGGGUAAUUUUUAUAUAACUAAAAAGGAGCUAGGUCAUUUCGAAAUAACUAAUUUAGAAAGGCCCAAACUAUCUACACACUUGGUGUGUAGAUAGUCACCCCAAAAAGGUGGUUUUUGUCCUUAUAUGCACACCCUGCAGUGUCGAACUGUGUCCAAAACGUGGCGUUUUGGUCCGGUUAACCAGAUAAAGAUUGACGGGUGUCUGACGGGUCUGUCGACCGGACCAAAACGCCGAGCUUUGGCCGUGUUUUGGUCAUGCAACCAGACCGGGUGUCAGUCUUUUGUCUGGUUGACAGGACCAAAACGCGGCCAAAGCUCGACGUUUUGGUCCGGUCAACAGACCCGUCAGAAACCCGUCAGUCUUUUUCGGUUACCCGGACCAAAACGCAGCAUUUUGGCCACAAUUCGACACUGCAGGGUGUGCAUAUAAGGACAAAAAACACCUUUUAAUGUGUGUAGAUAGGCAAAUGGGUGUGCCAAUAGGUACACCCUUUAGAAACCAUUCAAAAUAUAUAGAAGAUGAAACUAAUUUUCUUAAAAGUGUACUUUCAUUUGCAAAAAGACAAGAAGAUGAGCCUACAUAUGAGUUAGAAAAUGGAGCGGAGCAACAGCAGUAGAAUAGUCUAGAUUAGCCAUUGAUGACUUUUGAAGGUGCAGCUGCAGAUAAAUAGGUCUAUGGUUUGGUGCAAUAGUUUACUAAAUUUUUUUUCCAGAUAUAUGCAUAUAUAACGGGUGAGCCGACUUGUUUGUACUUGUAUGAUCUUUAAAUGUUUUUUAAGUGACUUCUACCAUUGUGACUUCUACCUGUCUGUUGUUAAUUCAUGUGGUGUUGUAGGCUGAACAAAAUCAAGAAAUUGCUAAGAUAUCGUACUAUGCUUCGUCGUCAGAACAGCUCAGGUACGAGGGAAAACUGUCUACCUACAGUACUCCAACCGGCAAGAAAUUGUGAACAACAAAACAUCUGCAGCUGUUGCUGGAAAUGUACUUUUGGUAACCAUUGAUGGUAAUGAUACCCGCUCUAUCAGCAUUAUAUUUCUGAAUUUUGUCUCUUCAUUGUUGUCUAUUAAGUAGUGCUUGCAUAGAAGCCUGUUUGAAAUCGCGUUUGUACAACUUUUGAGAAGACAGCUGGAUUUCAGGCGCUGGUACAGUUUACUGAUUCGGAAACUGCUACUUCUGCGAAGGAUGCUCUUAUUGCUUUGCUUUUUCAGAGACUGAAAAAAGAUGCACUGUGGAUAGGCACUUAGGUGGCGUCGAUGGGAACA